rnacentral:rRNA from 1 species
GGGGGACAGGGUGACAGGUGGUGCAUGGUUGUCGUCAGCUCGUGUCGUGAGAUGUGGGUUAAGUCCCGCAACGAGCGCAACCCUCGACCUUAGUUGCCAGCAUUCAGUUGGGCACUCUAAGGUGACUGCCGGCUAAAAGUCGGAGGAAGGUGGGGAUGACGUCAAAUCAUCAUGCCCCUUAUGACCUGGGCUACACACGUGCUACAAUGGGCGGUACAAAGGGUCGCGAACCCGCGAGGGGGAGCCAAUCCCAAAAAGCCGCUCUCAGUUCGGAUUGCAGGCUGCAACUCGCCUGCAUGAAGCCGGAAUCGCUAGUAAUCGCGGAUCAGCAUGCCGCGGUGAAUACGUUCCCGGGCCUU